GGCAGACGGGUGAGUAACGCGUGGGAACCUACCUUUAGGUACGGAACAACAGUUGGAAACGACUGCUAAUACCGUAUGUGCCCUAUGGGGGAAAGAUUUAUCGCCUAAGGAUGGGCCCGCGUUGGAUUAGCUAGUUGGUGGGGUAAAGGCCUACCAAGGCGACGAUCCAUAGCUGGUCUGAGAGGAUGAUCAGCCACACUGGGACUGAGACACGGCCCAGACUCCUACGGGAGGCAGCAGUGGGGAAUAUUGGACAAUGGGCGCAAGCCUGAUCCAGCCAUGCCGCGUGAGUGAUGAAGGCCCUAGGGUUGUAAAGCUCUUUCAGCGAGGAGGAUAAUGACGUUACUCGCAGAAGAAGCCCCGGCUAACUUCGUGCCAGCAGCCGCGGUAAUACGAAGGGGGCUAGCGUUGUUCGGAAUCACUGGGCGUAAAGCGCACGUAGGCGGACUUUUAAGUCAGGGGUGAAAUCCCGGGGCUCAACCCCGGAACUGCCUUUGAUACUGGAAGUCUUGAGUCCGAGAGAGGUGAGUGGAACUCCGAGUGUAGAGGUGAAAUUCGUAGAUAUUCGGAAGAACACCAGUGGCGAAGGCGGCUCACUGG
rnacentral:rRNA from 1 species